AUUGAACGCUGGCGGCAGGCUUAACACAUGCAGGUCGAGCGGAGUGAUGGUGCUUGCACUAUCACUUAGCGGCGGACGGGUGAGUAAUGCUUAGGAAUCUGCCUAUUAGUGGGGGACAACAUCUCGAAAGGGAUGCUAAUACCGCAUACGUCCUACGGGAGAAAGCAGGGGAUCAAUUGUGAACUUGCGCUAUUAGAUGAGCCUAAGUCGGGUUAGCUAGUGGGUGGGGUAAAGGCCUACCAAGGCGACGAUCUGUAGCGGGUCUGAGAGGCUGAUCCGCCACACUGGGACUGAGACACGGCCCAGACUCCUACGGGAGGCAGCAGUGGGGAAUAUUGGACAAUGGGGGGAACCCUGAUCCAGCCAUGCCGCGUGUGUGAAGAAGGCCUUAUGGUUGUAAAGCACUUUAAGCGAGGAGGAGGCUCUUUUGGUUAAUACCCAAGAUGAGUGGACGUUACUCGCAGAAUAAGCACCGGCUAACUCUGUGCCAGCAGCCGCCGUAA
rnacentral:rRNA from 1 species